rnacentral:rRNA from 1 species
UACAGAGGUCUCAAGCGUUUGUUCGGAUUCAUUGGGCGUAAAGGGUGCGUAGGCGGCGCGGUAAGUCGGGUGUGAAAUCUCGGAGCUUAACUCCGAAACUGCAUUCGAUACUGCCGUGCUUGAGGACUGGAGAGGAGACUGGAAUUUACGGUGUAGCGGUGAAAUGCGUAGAUAUCGUAAGGAAGACCAGUGGCGAAGGCGGGUCUCUGGACAGUUCCUGACGC